rnacentral:rRNA from 1 species
CUAAAUGCAGUCGAACGAAGCUCCUAAACCUGCGCCUUCGGGCAAGGGUGAGGGAUGACUUAGUGGCGGACGGGUGAGUAAUGCGUGAGCAACCUGCCCUUCAGAGGGGGACAACAGCUGGAAACGGCUGCUAAUACCGCAUAAUGUAUACGAAUCGCAUGGUUUGUAUACCAAAGAUUUAUCGCUGAAGGAUGGGCUCACGUCUGAUUAGUUAGUUGGUAGGGUAACGGCCUACCAAGACUGCGAUCAGUAGCCGGACUGAGAGGUUGACCGGCCACAUUGGGACUGAGAUACGGCCCAGACUCCUACGGGAGGCAGCAGUGGGGAAUAUUGGGCAAUGGGCGAAAGCCUGACCCAGCAACGCCGCGUGAAGGAAGAAGGCUUUCGGGUUGUAAACUUCUUUUAUAGGGGACGAAACAAAUGACGGUACCCUAUGAAUAAGCUCCGGCUAACUACGUGCCAGCAGCCGCGGUAAUACGUAGGGAGCAAGCGUUAUCCGGAUUUACUGGGUGUAAAGGGCGCGUAGGCGGGACUGCAAGUCAGGUGUGAAAUCUGGUGGCUCAACCACCAAACUGCACUUGAAACUGUGGUUCUUGAGUGAUGGAGAGGCAGGCGGAAUUCCUAGUGUAGCGGUGAAAUGCGUAGAUAUUAGGAGGAACACCAGUGGCGAAGGCGGCUUUCUGGACCGUAACCUGACGCUGAGGCACGAAAGCGUGGGGAGCAAACAGGAUUAGAUACCCUGGUAGUCCACGCUGUAAACGAUGGGAUACUAGGUGUAGGGGGGUAUAGACCUCCCCCUGUGCCCGANCCAAACCCCAANAAGUAUCCCCCCCUGGGGNAAUACCGCCCCCCAGGCNUNAAACUCCAAAGNAAUUUGACCGGGGGCCCCCCNCAAANCAGCCGAAAACAUUG